AUUGAACGCUGGCGGCAGGCUUAACACAUGCAAGUCGAGCGGAGCGAGGGUGCUUGCACCUUAGCUUAGCGGCGGACGGGUGAGUAAUGCUUAGGAAUCUGCCUAUUAGUGGGGGACAACAUUCCGAAAGGGAUGCUAAUACCGCAUACGCCCUACGGGGGAAAGCAGGGGAUCUUCGGACCUUGCGCUAAUAGAUGAGCCUAAGUCGGAUUAGCUAGUUGGUGGGGUAAAGGCCUACCAAGGCGACGAUCUGUAGCGGGUCUGAGAGGAUGAUCCGCCACACUGGGACUGAGACACGGCCCAGACUCCUACGGGAGGCAGCAGUGGGGAAUAUUGGACAAUGGGGGGAACCCUGAUCCAGCCAUGCC
rnacentral:rRNA from 1 species